rnacentral:rRNA from 1 species
AUUGAACGCUGGCGGCAGGCCUAACACAUGCAAGUCGAACGGUAACAGGAAGAAGCUUGCUUCUUUGCUGACGAGUGGCGGACGGGUGAGUAAUGUCUGGGAAACUGCCUGAUGGAGGGGGAUAACUACUGGAAACGGUAGCUAAUACCGCAUAACGUCGCAAGACCAAAGAGGGGGACCUUCGGGCCUCUUGCCAUCGGAUGUGCCCAGAUGGGAUUAGCUAGUAGGUGGGGUAACGGCUCACCUAGGCGACGAUCCCUAGCUGGUCCGAGAGGAUGACCAGCCACACUGGAACUGAGACACGGUCCAGACUCCUACGGGAGGCAGCAGUGGGGAAUAUUGCACAAUGGGCGCAAGCCUGAUGCAGCCAUGCCGCGUGUAUGAAGAAGGCCUUCGGGUUGUAAAGUACUUUCAGCGGGGAGGAAGGGAGUAAAGUUAAUACCUUUGCUCAUUGACGUUACCCGCAGAAGAAGCACCGGCUAACUCCGUG